GAUGGGGUGGCAGAGCACGGUAAUUGCAAAAGGUCUAAGCCCUUUCAACAGGGGUUCAAAUCCUCUCCCCAACA
rnacentral:tRNA from 1 species